rnacentral:misc_RNA from 1 species
AAGUUAUGAGAUAUCAAGUCAAGCGCAGUGGAGGUAUAGUGACUACUGAAGAUAUUAGAAAAAGAUUGAGGAGUGGUUUGAGGUAUGAGUUUCGCUAUGAAAUGAUGAUGAUAGCUAGGACACUACAGCAGACAAAAGAACUAUACAGAUCCUAGGCAAAAGGAUUUAGAGUUUACAGUGGGCGAUUAUGUAUUCUUGAAGGUCUCUCCGAUGAAGGGAGUU